AGUGUAUUCAUAGUGUUCUGCCUUAACAGUCCAGGGCCCUGUUCUUCUAACGUGGCUUAACUAACGUACAGGCUAAUAGAUAUCCGGCUGAUCGUGUUUAUUCUCAUCCAGAUCGUGUGGUUCUUUGGAAGCAGUUUGAAGAUGGAAUUUUUUAUUCCUGGAUGAAGUUAUCUUUGUUAAAAGAGCACCCUUAUUUUGGAAAUGUUACCAUUAAGUUUCUACACUUUCAUCAGCGUUAGACCGCCUCCUAAUGAAGUGCUGCUUCAUGUGUGAGGUUCUUUCCAUUGAUGAGCAAAACACUGGUGAGACUUCAGGGAUUCCCUCUGGAAACACACAUGACUCCUCACAACCCUUCUGUAGACUUAAUGAGGUAGCUGUGAAGGAGACAAUUAUCACCGUGUGUUGUGCUGCCCUGCAUAUGUGGGAUUAUUCCACUGACGAGAUGUAUGGUAUAAAGCACUGUCUGUUGCCAUGGAGAGGGAGGAACAGGAAGCCCAGGGGAGGAGGGGGCCUGAUCAGACUUGUAAGCAUUUUAUGGGAGCU